GACGAACGCUGGCGGCGUGCUUAACACAUGCAAGUCGAACGAGGUAUAGCGAGUGGAAGCUUCGGUGGAAACAUGCUAUUACCGAGUGGCGGACGGGUGAGUAACGCGUGAGCAACCUACCCUGCAACGGGGGACAACAGUUGGAAACGACUGCUAAUACCGCAUAAGACCACGAAACCGCAUGGUUUAGAGGUAAAAGGAUUAAUUCGAUGCAGGAUGGGCUCGCGUCCCAUUAGAUAGUUGGUGAGGUAACGGCCCACCAAGUCAACGAUGGGUAGCCGACCUGAGAGGGUGAUCGGCCACACUGGAACUGAGACACGGUCCAGACUCCUACGGGAGGCAGCAGUGGGGAAUAUUGGGCAAUGGGCGAAAGCCUGACCCAGCAACGCCGCGUGAGGGAAGAAGGUCUUCGGAUUGUAAACCUUUGUCCUAUGGGACGAAACAAAUGACGGUACCAUAGGAGGAAGCUCCGGCUAACUACGUG
rnacentral:rRNA from 1 species